rnacentral:rRNA from 1 species
AGUGAACGCUGGCGGUAGGCCUAACACAUGCAAGUCGAACGGCAGCACAGUAAGAGCUUGCUCUUACGGGUGGCGAGUGGCGGACGGGUGAGGAAUACAUCGGAAUCUACUUUUUCGUGGGGGAUAACGUAGGGAAACUUACGCUAAUACAGCAUACGACCUACGGGUGAAAGCAGGGGAUCUUCGGACCUUGCGCGAUUGAAUGAGCCGAUGUCGGAUUAGCUAGUUGGCGGGGUAAAUGCCCACCAAGGCGACGAUCCGUGGCUUGUCUGAGAGGAUGAUCAGCCACACGGGAAGGGAGACACGGUCCAGACUCCUACGGGAGGCACCAGUGGGGAAUAUUGGACAAUGGGCGCAAGCCUGAUCCAGCCAUACGGCGUGGGUGAAGAAGGCCUUCGGGUUGUAAAGCCCUUUUGUUGGGAAAGAAAAGCAGCAGGUUAAUACCCCGCUGUUCUGACGGUACCCAAAGAAUAAGCACCGGCUAACUUCGUG